GACGAACGCUGGCGGCGUGCCUAAUACAUGCAAGUAGAACGCUGAAGAGAGGAGCUUGCUCUUCUUGGAUGAGUUGCGAACGGGUGAGUAACGCGUAGGUAACCUGCCUUGUAGCGGGGGAUAACUAUUGGAAACGAUAGCUAAUACCGCAUAACAAUAGGUGACACAUGUCAUUUAUUUGAAAGGGGCAAUUGCUCCACUACAAGAUGGACCUGCGUUGUAUUAGCUAGUAGGUGAGGUAGCGGCUCACCUAGGCGACGAUACAUAGCCGACCUGAGAGGGUGAUCGGCCACACUGGGACUGAGACACGGCCCAGACUCCUACGGGAGGCAGCAGUAGGGAAUCUUCGGCAAUGGGGGCAACCCUGACCGAGCAACGCCGCGUGAGUGAAGAAGGUUUUCGGAUCGUAAAGCUCUGUUGUAAGUCAAGAACGAGUGUGAGAGUGGAAAGUUCACACUGUGACGGUAGCUUACCAGAAAGGGACGGCUAACUACGUG
rnacentral:rRNA from 1 species